rnacentral:tRNA from 1 species
UAGCUCAGCUGAUCAGAGCGCGGCACUGUUAAUCCUGAGGUUGUCAGUCCGAUUCCGGCCA